rnacentral:rRNA from 1 species
UAACACAUGCAAGUCGAACGAGAAGGUGACUUCGGUCACUGGAUAGUGGCGUCCGGGUGAGUAACACGUAGGUAAUCUACCUUCGGGUGGGGAAUAACGUCUCGAAAGAGACGCUAAUACCGCAUAAUGCAGCGGCACCUAAUGGUGAUUAGUUGUUAAAGCGGGGGAUCUUCGGACCUCGCGCCUGAAGAGGAGCCUGCGGCAGAUUAGCUAGUUGGUGAGGUAAUGGCUCACCAAGGCUUCGAUCUAUAGCUGGUCUGAGAGGACGGCCAGCCACACUGGCACUGACACACGGGCCAGACUCUACGGGAGGCACGCAGUGGAGAAUUUUGGGCAAUGGGCGAAAGCCUGACCCAGCAACGCCGCGUGAAGGAGGAAAUCCUUCGGGAUGUAAACUUCAUAAGUAAGGGAAGAAAGCUGCGGGUUGAAUAAAUCCCGCAGUCAGACGAUACCUUACGUAAGCCACGGCUAACUACU